rnacentral:rRNA from 1 species
UACAGAGGUCUCAAGCGUUGUUCGGAUUCAUUGGGCGUAAAGGGUGCGUAGGCGGCGGGGUAAGUCGGGUGUGAAAUCUCAGAGCUCAACUCUGAAAUGGCACUUGAUACUGCUCUGCUAGAGGACUGGAGAGGAGAUUGGAAUUCACGGUGUAGCAGUGAAAUGCGUAGAUAUCGUGAGGAAGACCGGUGGCGAAGGCGGUCCAUCUGGACCAGCACUGACACUGAGGCACGAAAGCGUGGGGAGCAAACAGG